CAGAGAGUAGUUAAAAAUGAGAAUGUUAGCUUUGGGAGUUAGCGGUGAGAGUUAGAGCCUCUUCUUUCUGA
rnacentral:tRNA from 1 species